ACUUAGCCCAUGCCAUGGCCUCUGCUAGAGAAGUUGAACGAGAGCUGCAAGUUACCGAUCUUUGUUUGAUAACUGGUUCACCUGAUUUAGGGAGGAAGAUAGAAUCUCAUGGACUUGGAUCUAGGGCGUCAUUUCCUUGGUCUAAAACCCAUUCUACCUCAUCCACUUUUGUAUUGUCUUCAGGUUCUUCUUCCACUAAGCCCAAUGAAAAAACCAACUCUCCACAAACUCGGCCCACAGCUGCAUCAG
rnacentral:misc_RNA from 1 species